UCUCCUGGUCUAAGUAUCUUAGAGGCACCAGAUCUCAUCUCAUCUUGAAAGCUAAACAGGAUCAGCUCUAGCUAGUAUUUGAAUGGGAGACAAUAAAGGAAUACCCGGUGCAGUAGGU
rnacentral:rRNA from 11 species